rnacentral:snoRNA from 1 species
UAAAGUGAAUAGUUACCUGCACUCAGCAUUUUUUUUCUUGCUGGGGAGUUCAAAGACAGUGCUAUAGAAAUUCAGUAUCUGGCAUCGUUGGUUUUCUUGGCUUUGUGCAUGUUAAACCUGUUAUUUCUAUUGAUACAGUA